rnacentral:rRNA from 1 species
UACGUAGGGUCCAAGCAUUAUCCGGAUUGACUGGGUGUAAAGAGUUGCGUAGGUGGCAUAGUAAGUAGGUAGUGAAAUCUGGUGGCUCAACCAUUCAGACUACUACCUAAACUGCUAAGCUCGAGACCGUUAGGGGUAACUGGAAUUUCUAGUGUAGGAGUGAAAUCCGUAGAUAUUAGAAAGAACACCGAUAGCGUAGGCAGGUUACUGGGACGGUUCUGACACUAAGGCACGAAAGCGUAGGGAGCAA